GUGUGUGCGCGCGCGCACGCCUGAGUAGCAGGUGGGCUUGAAGGCUUGAUUAUCAGCUUCCCCACCUAAAAGCAGGUGAUAGAAGAUGCUGACCUGGACUGGGACCUUGGCUGUUUACUCAGGCAGGUGAGAGGCUGACUGGAGGGUGCUUUCCUGGCAGCCAAGGCAAAGGGCCAUGGACCAGAUGGCAGUGGCUGUGUGUGGAAGUGCCAGCGGUCCUUCUCCUGUCUUCUGCGGAGUCCUCGGUGUUGCAGGCCUGGGGCGCAGCAGUGGAGGCAAAGGCCAGACUACAUUUCCAAGACCCUCCUUCUGCCAGCUGCUUCUGCUGGGGGUCUGCCUGCAAGAGGCACUGAUAGAAGGUGAAAGCAGGAAAAAGAAAUGAGCCUCUGUGGCCUCCUGACCCUUGAAGGGGCCUCUGGCCAUGGCAGCAGCCAGAGGGUGUGGGCUCCUGGUUCCCGAUCAGGACCCCGCGCAGCCCCAUCAGCACGGUGGCAAGGCCUCCAAAAGGCCAGUGCCGUGCUGGCCGGUCGGGUGCCAGCAUCCUGAUGUCUGGGCGAUCUCCUUCUCCCUUGUGCUCCCCUAGCCCCUUCAGCAUCUUCUGCAACCAGUUUUCUGUGUGAAAUCCCAGCCUUGGCAUGACCUAUGUAAAGCUGGGCCCACACCUGGUAGAGGGGCUGCAGUAAGGGGUGUGUUCAGCAGGCCUGAAUUUCAGCCAUAAAUUUGGGGAUAAGAGAAAUAUUGCACUUCCUUUUCUUUUUUUCUUUUUUCUUUUCCUUUCUUUCUUUCUUUUUUUUUUCUUUUUUUUUUUUCUUGAAACAAGAUCUCGCUUUCUUGCCCAUGUGGGAGUACAGUGGCACAAUCAUGGCUCACUGUAACUUCAGCCUCCUGGGCUCAAGCAAUCCUCCCACCUCAGCUCCCUGAGUAGCUGGGACCACAGCCUUGCACCAUCACACUUGGCUCAUUUUUGCAGUUUACAUGUAGAGACGGAGUCUUACCAUGUUGCCCAGGCUGGUCUCUAACUCCUGGGCUCAAGUGAUCCUCUCAUCUUGGUCUCCCAAAGUGCUAGGAUUACAGGUAUGAGCCACCGUGCCCGACCAUGUUUGCUUUUCUUAAAUAAACUUAAUUUAACCUUCAAGUCCAGUGACUGCUGAGCAGUCAUCGCUAGGGCUGUGCUGAUGUUCCAGGGGAGCACAGAGGUUCUGGCCAUUCUUGGAGCCAGGCACCGGCGAGGCCCCCAGGUUGCAGUGAGCAGGCCCCCAGGUUGCAGUGAGCAGGCCCCCACUGUCUUAGUCUGUACCGUGCUUCAGGGCUGCCAGCUCUGUUGGGCCUUCUACUUGGAGCACAGAAGCCUUUGUUAAGUUUGGGGCCCAGGCCUAGGAUGCAGCCUGCCUCUGGCAUCGCACAGUGCUUCCCUCUGAUGUCCUGCCACCUCGUGAGCUCUGCCAGGGAAUAGGAUGCUGGUCCUGUUUCCUAGUGGGAAUCACACACUUCUCUCUCCUGUCUCUACCCUGGAGGAAUUUCCUUUGGGUCUGAGACAAUUCUUUCCCCUCCUCUGCUUCCUUCAAAGUCCCUCCAUCUCAUCUCAAUAAGCCUAUGCUUUUGGAAAUAAAUGCCAGGAAGGGGCCUUGAGGGGACUACCACUUCCUGCCCUGCCUCAAAUCUCCCCUGAGGUAAGGAGGCCAGGAUCUCCUAUCUGCUCAAAUGGCAGAAGGGAAGGAGAACUCCAGAGAGAAGAAUUUAAACUGAUUUCUUCAAAGCUUCUCCUGCCAGAAUUGAAUAUGCCGAGGAGCUAUAUCACUUCUGUAGCAUUCCUGCCAAUAUGCCCUAAUCUGAAUCUAACCAUGAAGAAACAAUCAAAUUCGAACUGAAUAACAGUCUACAAACUGUCUGCCUGUACUCUUCAAAAAUGUCAAUGUCCUGAAGGAAAAAGGCCAAGCAAGUCUUCCAGGAGAAAGGAGACUCAGAAAGACAUGACAGCUAAGUGCACUGGGGAUCUUGAACUGGAAGGAGGAUAAGGAAAAAAAAUGCUACAAAGGAUGUUGUUGAGACAAUUGUUAAAAUUUGAAUACCAUCUAUCUAUCUAUCUAUCUAUCUAUCUAUCUAUCUAUCUAUCUAUCAUCUGUCUAUAUUUUUGAGAUGGAGUCUCCGUCUGUCGCCCAGGCUGGAGGGCCGUGGCACGAUCUUGGUUCACUGCAAACUUUGCCCCCCGGAUUCAAGUGAUUCUUCUGCCUCAGCCACCUGAGUAGCUGGGACUACUGGUGCGUGCCACCAUGCCUAGGUAAUUUUUGUAUUUUUAGUAGAGUUGGGGCUUCACCAUAUUGGCCAGGCUGGUCUCGAACUCCUGACCUCAUGAUCCAUCCACCUCGGCCUCCCAAAGUGUUGGGAUUACAGGCAUGAGCCAUCACACCCGGCCUCAUCUAUAUAUUAUAUAGUGGUAUUAUUAUAGUGUUGAAUUUCCUCCGUUCAUUGUAUUGAGGUUAUGUAAGAAAGCAUCCUUGUUCUUAAGAUCCACACUGAAGUAUUUCAAA